UUGCGUUAAGGAUAGAAACGACAUCCUUUUUUACUUAAUAAAUAAGCUGUCAUUACGAGGAGUGCAACGACGUGGUAAUCUCCCAAUCGAUUAAGAGAUUGCCACAGCAAAUAAAAAAUGUACUUAGUAAGGACAAGUAAAAAAGAUACAGUGUAUAGCCUGUUAAAAC
rnacentral:sRNA from 1 species